GGGCCUCAGAGGUGAAUCAGAGAUGCAGGUCCCAAGGAUUUGGAUGCCCAUGGCUUUGGGGAGUUAUCACUCACUCCACCUAGCACAAAAUCAGGAAGUUUGAUCAGCAGAAUGUUAAAGGACCUUGAAAACAUUUGCAAAGCUUCUCUAAGUGAUAGAGCCAUUCUUUCAGCUGACCAUGUUCCUGAAACAGUGUCAUCUUCUCCAGAGAACGCUUGGAUUUGGUACUUACUGAGGUCUAGUGGGCCACACAGUUUGUCUGCUGCCAAUCAGAUGGAGAACUCGACUUCUCCACUCCAGGCUGGCAUAUAACUGAACUGGAGACUGAACCCCCAGUUUAAAUGCAUCAACACGAGGAACAGAAACAAUCCUGAAGGAACAGCCGACACUGGACUGUAACCGGUGUUCACGCUCUCCUUCUGUCAAGCUGGUCUGCAGCUCUGGAUGGAAGCCAUUUCCAGAGAAAGGAUCCAUGUCCUGAGUCUCAGAAGGAAUUGUAAUGAGCGCAUACGCCGUGGAGGACUGAAUCCUUUUACCUCUGGGUUUAUGUCUUCACACAGUACUGGAGACUGGCAGGUGGGAGCUGCUCUCCUGGUUGGAUGGUUUGAUGGGUAAAGAGGGGAUGGAGGGGUGCUGGCUGCAGUGUGGGUGAAACAGCUGGCAGCCUGUAUGUUUUCUCACGUCCGGCGAUAUGCCUCCGCCCCCUGCAGUGGAUAUACCAGCUUGCAUGGGCACCAGUCACUUCCCAACACCUUUGGCUAUGGCUGCCUCCCAUGUACAUUUUGACUUUUUUAAAAUAUUGUGGUGAGAAAACAUAACCUAAAAUUUAACACCUUACCUGAAGAGUUUAUUGGUAUUAAGUCUCUUCACACUGCUGUGGAACUCACUCUUCUUGCAAACAGAAGGACUGUCCCCAUGAAACACCCCCACCCCGUUCCCACCUCCUGCCCCAGGUACCCACCACCCACUCCCUGUCUCUGGGAAGCUGACUGCUCCAGGGACUUGGUCAGGAAGAAAUCUGCACCUCUGUGCCUGGAUUGUUUCACUGAGCAUGUCCUCCGCACGCAGCUAUGCUUCCAUGUGUGACAGGACGUCCUUCUGUCUGAAGGCCAGCUGUUGUUCCAUGGUGUGGAUACAGCACAUCUUCUCCUCCUUCAUCCGCCAGUGGGCUCUCAGGCUCUUCCUCCUCUGGGCCUUUCUGAGGAAUGCUGCGGUGAACAUGGUCCGUGACUUCAGUUCUCUCGGAUGGAUAUAUCCUCACAAGUGGCAUUGCUGGUGCACAGGGCAAGCCCACUUUUAAUUUUUGGAGGGACCGUCACACUGGUUCCGAGGUGGCCAGCCUUCCUACCAGCGGUGCACCAGGGCUCAGCGCCUCAUGUCUCUUGUGAGGGAACAGAAAGGAAAGCAUCCCAGAGAAAAUAAUAGAGCAAUAACAUCUGAUAAGAAUAGUAAUGCAAAUCGAAUAACAUUUUAAAGAGGCAAAUAACACAAGGAAGGGAGAAUCUAAUUUACAAAACACUGAAAAGACUGAGAGAGACUAGGAGAGUAAAUUGUCAUUCAGAUUUGUGUUCUUGUCAAGACUUGGGUGUGGCCUGGCUUUAUCCUACCUUAGCUUCAGUCUCAACACUGGACCCCCUUCCCUCAGGACCAAGACUUAAGGGACACAACAUGUGUCUCUUGGUCCUCUUCCUUCCUGCCCAGCUCAGGGUGUGCACAGAGUAGCAUUAGGGCAGGUGUGUGAUGAGUGACCCAGAGGCAGUCCUGGAGCUGCAGGGACCAAACCUCCACCUGAACCAGGGCUUCUGUUUGGGAACCGCCUGCCCCCUCCCUGACUCUGUCACUUGCUGACCCAGGUCCUCAUUCUGGGUGACGAAUCCCCUCCCCUGCUCUCCCUUUAGCCCCAGCCCAGCAGAGCUGGGUUCUUUACUCUCUGAUAUGGCUUACAAACUUUCCAAUUGCAAUUUCUGUUUUAAAUAAAUGAAAGAGAAACAGAACGUGACCACUUCAUCGGGUAUUUGGCCACCCUCUCUCCUCACCACCAAACCCAGUCAGAGCCUCCCCACGAGUGGAUCCAUGACUCCAACUCGGGCACUAAACAGGACCAAGUUUGGCUGCUGCUGACAGCUCCCUAAUCCUACUGGACCAGGUCAUUUGUGGCAGAUGCCAGGUAAGAGAUGGGGCCUCUAGACCCGGGUCUGCUCAGGAAAUAUCAGAAGAAGGUAGUGUUGUUUAGGAAACAAAAGCCUGACAAAUCCAGCUGAAAGAACACUGCAGAGACACACAUCUGAAGACCUUCGUGGACUGGGAGGGGGCCCAGGCCAUCGUAGGAGCUGUGUGCUCAAGGCGGACCCGGGAAGAGCUGCCCUCCCCGAGGACUUGGGUUGAACAGGGACACAUGGGCUCCACAGAAGUGCAUGGGGUGUUGGAAUGCUGUUCAUAGUGAUGGUUCUUAUGACUGAAAAUCAGGACGUCAAGUUUAACUCUGAUGGUGAGAUCCUUUGAACUCUGCCCCCUUCCUCCCAGAAUCAAGAAGCAGAAGCAGGGGAAGAAGACCUUGAGGUUAUUGGUUAUUAGCAAAACCUGAAUCAGGGGUCAGAGCACACUGAUCUCAGCCUGUGAAAGCCCUGACCUCCCCUCCCCGCCAAGUACACCUGCUCUCUGAAGCUGCACAUACCCUCUUAGCAGCACUAAGUAAAGUCAGAACAGGGCACCCCUUCCCCUGAGGAAACAGUUGGCCUUCCCAACAGAGAACAGAAAAGCAAGCCCCAGUCUGUUAUCUCUAGGGGUGAGGGUGGCUGCCUUUGAAGGACAGACUCAGCCACUCAAAGAUACGUCAGUACCCUGCCAAUCCCAAGUGACUCACGCCAAAAAACAUGUCAGAAGCAGCUCUAGAAAAUGCAAAACUUCAGAGGGAAAUAAUGGGUAGUUUGCAUGAAAGUGCUUAUCUUCUGGAAAACCUGAAACUCCUCCUCAAGAGGUCUGGGAAUAGAAAGAAAGAGGCAGGAACUAAAGAAACUUUUGCGUGAAACCAUGUUGAAGAUGCACUCAGCUCUUUUUUAGAGGUUACACAGAUGGUGACAGCUUGAAAUUGGGCAGAAAAGGUGACUCAGAAAAUGGAGACCAUCUAGACUACUGGUCAGUAGUUAGAGAAACUCACUGAUGCUGUGGCAUGUCAAUACAGCAUGGCACUGGCAAAAGAAUAGACAGAUCAGUGGAACAGAGUCGAGAGCCCAGAACAGGACCUGAACAAACGUAGUCAACUGAUGCCUGGCAAAGGAGCAAAGGCAGUAUGAUGGAGGAAAAGCGGUGUUUUCAAUAAAUGAUGCUGGGAUGACUGAAUACCCAC
rnacentral:lncRNA from 1 species